ACAAAAAAAGCCCUGCAGCACUUUGUCUGCAGGGGUCCUUUACAUUUGCUUUCCUCCGCGCAUCGGAGGAACAAGCAAACGAAAGGAAAAGAAAAGGGAGAGGAGAAACCGGAGGAAGAACUUAUGGGGAAACGUAAGUCUUCUCCGUGG
rfam:Geobacillus caldoxylosilyticus NBRC 107762 DNA, contig: GCA01S008.